GGGCUCGCAGGCGGUUUCUUAAGUCUGAUGUGAAAGCCCCCGGCUCAACCGGGGAGGGUCAUUGGAAACUGGGAAACUUGAGUGCAGAAGAGGAGAGUGGAAUUCCACGUGUAGCGGUGAAAUGCGUAGAGAUGUGGAGGAACACCAGUGGCGAAGGCGACUCUCUGGUCUGUAACUGACGCUGAGGAGCGAAAGCGUGGGGAGCGAACAGGAUUAGAUACCCUGGUAGUCCACGCCGUAAACGAUGAGUGCUAAGUGUUAGGGGGUUUCCGCCCCUUAGUGCUGCAGCUAACGCAUUAAGCACUCCGCCUGGGGAGUACGGUCGCAAGACUGAAACUCAAAGGAAUUGACGGGGGCCCGCACAAGCGGUGGAGCAUGUGGUUUAAUUCGAAGCAACGCGAAGAACCUUACCAGGUCUUGACAUCCUCUGACAACCCUAGAGAUAGGGCUUUCCCUUCGGGGACAGAGUGACAGGUGGUGCAUGGUUGUCGUCAGCUCGUGUCGUGAGAUGUUGGGUUAAGUCCCGCAACGAGCGCAACCCUUGAUCUUAGUUGCCAGCAUUCAGUUGGGCACUCUAAGGUGACUGCCGGUGACAAACCGGAGGAAGGUGGGGAUGACGUCAAAUCAUCAUGGCCCUUAUGACCUGGGCUACACACGUGCUACAAUGGAC
rnacentral:rRNA from 1 species